AUCGGCAACGGUGCUGGCUCCCGUUGGUGCGCGAUGCUCCGGAUGAAUCCUCGUGGUUCAUCGGCGAGGGCACACCACCUUCGGCUUGAACGUUCCGGCAUCGUAGUCGUGCACUUCUCCCCUAGUAGAACGUCGCGACCCGUUGUGUGUCGGUCUACGGCCCGAGAGGGCGCCUGUCGCGUCGCUUCGCGCGCACGCGGCAGACCCUCGGUCGCCUGGCCGGCUGCACGACGGUACUCGCACGGUAUCGGGCCGCAACCAAUCCAUUUUUUCGAAUGUGUGUGCGUCAGGCCCGCCGCAAGCUCGGUCAGUUCUUACCC
rnacentral:rRNA from 1 species